rnacentral:rRNA from 1 species
AACGAACGCUGGCGGCAGGCUUAACACAUGCAAGUCGAACGGGUGCAGCAAUGCAUCAGUGGCAGACGGGUGAGUAACACGUGGGAACCUUCCUAGGGGUACGGAACAACUCAGGGAAACUUGAGCUAAUACCGUAUACGUCCGUGAGGAGAAAGAUUUAUCGCCCUUAGACGGGCCCGCGUCGGAUUAGCUAGUUGGUGGGGUAACGGACUACCAAGGCGACGAUCCGUAGCUGAUCUCAGAGGAUGAUCAGCCACACUGGGACUGAGACACGGCCCAGACUCCUACGGGAGGCAGCAGUGGGGAAUCUUGGACAAUGGGCGCAAGCCUGAUCCAGCCAUGCCGCGUGAGUGAAGAAGGUCUUCGGAUUGUAAAGCUCUUUUGCCAGGGACGAUAAUGACGGUACCUGGAGAAUAAGCCCCGGCAAACUUCGUGCCAGCCGCCGCGGUAA